rnacentral:rRNA from 1 species
UACAGAGGUCCCAAGCGUUGUUCGGAUUCACUGGGCGUAAAGGGUGCGUAGGUGGCAUGGUAAGUUUGAUGUGAAAUCUCCGGGCUUAACCCGGAAAUGGCAUUGAAUACUACUGUGCUGGAGGUUUGGAGGGGGACUGGAAUUCUCGGUGUAGCAGUGAAAUGCGUAGAUAUCGAGAGGAACACCAGUGGCGAAGGCGAGUCCCUGGACAACACCUGACACUGAGGCACGAAAGCUAGGGGAGCAAACAGG